rnacentral:rRNA from 1 species
UGCAGUCGAACGAUGAUCCGGUGCUUGCACCGGGGAUUAGUGGCGAACGGGUGAGUAACACGUGAGUAACCUGCCCUUAACUCUGGGAUAAGCCUGGGAAACUGGGUCUAAUACCGGAUAUGACUCCUCAUCGCAUGGUGGGGGGUGGAAAGCUUUAUUGUGGUUUUGGAUGGACUCGCGGCCUAUCAGCUUGUUGGUGAGGUAAUGGCUCACCAAGGCGACGACGGGUAGCCGGCCUGAGAGGGUGACCGGCCACACUGGGACUGAGACACGGCCCAGACUCCUACGGGAGGCAGCAGUGGGGAAUAUUGCACAAUGGGCGCAAGCCUGAUGCAGCGACGCCGCGUGAGGGAUGACGGCCUUCGGGUUGUAAACCUCUUUCAGUAGGGAAGAAGCGAAAGUGACGGUACCUGCAGAAGAAGCGCCGGCUAACUACGUGCCAGCAGCCGCGGUAAUACGUAGGGCGCAAGCGUUAUCCGGAAUUAUUGGGCGUAAAGAGCUCGUAGGCGGUUUGUCGCGUCUGCCGUGAAAGUCCGGGGCUCAACUCCGGAUCUGCGGUGGGUACGGGCAGACUAGAGUGAUGUAGGGGAGACUGGAAUUCCUGGUGUAGCGGUGAAAUGCGCAGAUAUCAGGAGGAACACCGAUGGCGAAGGCAGGUCUCUGGGCAUUAACUGACGCUGAGGAGCGAAAGCAUGGGGAGCGAACAGGAUUAGAUACCCUGGUAGUCCAUGCCGUAAACGUUGGGCACUAGGUGUGGGGGACAUUCCACGUUUUCCGCGCCGUAGCUAACGCAUUAAGUGCCCCGCCUGGGGAGUACGGCCGCAAGGCUAAAACUCAAAGGAAUUGACGGGGGCCCGCACAAGCGGCGGAGCAUGCGGAUUAAUUCGAUGCAACGCGAAGAACCUUACCAAGGCUUGACAUGGGCCGGACCGGGCUGGAAACAGUCCUUCCCCUUUGGGGCCGGUUCACAGGUGGUGCAUGGUUGUCGUCAGCUCGUGUCGUGAGAUGUUGGGUUAAGUCCCGCAACGAGCGCAACCCUCGUUCCAUGUUGCCAGC